UACGUAGGGUGCAAGCGUUGUCCGGAAUUAUUGGGCGUAAAGAGCUCGUAGGCGGUCUGUCGCGUCGGACGUGAAAAUCCAGGGCUCAACCCUGGACCUGCGUUCGAUACGGGCAGACUAGAGUUCGGUAGGGGAGACUGGAAUUCCUGGUGUAGCGGUGAAAUGCGCGGAUAUCAGGAGGAACACCGGUGGCGAAGGCGGGUCUCUGGGCCGAAACUGACGCUGAGGAGCGAAAGCGUGGGGAGCAAACAGG
rnacentral:rRNA from 1 species